AUUGAACGCUGGCGGCAUGCCUUACACAUGCAAGUCGAACGGCAGCACGGGGGCAACCCUGGUGGCGAGUGGCGAACGGGUGAGUAACAUAUCGGAACAUACCCUAGAGUGGGGGAUAACGUAGCGAAAGUUACGCUAAUACCGCAUACGAUCUAAGGAUGAAAGUGGGGGAUCUUCGGACCUCAUGCUCAUGGAGUGGCCGAUAUCUGAUUAGCUAGUUGGUGAGGUAAAAGGCUCACCAAGGCGACGAUCAGUAGCUGGUUUGAGAGAACGACCAGCCACACUGGAACUGAGACACGGUCCAGACUCCUACGGAGGCAGCAGUGGGGAAUUUUGGGACAAUGGGGGGCAACCCUGAUCCAGCAAUGCCGCGUGAGCGAAG
rnacentral:rRNA from 1 species